AGAGAGAUGGCUCCGUGGUCAAGAGCACUGGCUGAUAUUCCAGAGGACCAGGGUUCAAUUCCCAGGCCAUCUG
rnacentral:tRNA from 1 species